UCAAUCGAAAUCCCUAGGAGGAGUUCGAUCAAAUACGAAGGCUGUAAACGUCAAAAUCGAGGUCCAAAAUGGACCUUCAAUACAAAAUGGCCGACUUCCUGCGAUACUUGCACUAUGACAUUACUUGUAAAUUCUGAGCGUCUUAGUGAGCUCUACAACUGUACCGAAUUUCAAGUCUCUACGAUGAAGUAAGUGAAUAGCAAUGGGUCUUUUGAAAAUUGCUAGUUGCCGGCGUUGAGCAAUUUUUUUUGCGAUUUUUGCGACAACCUUAAAAUUCAAAAUUUUUAAAUUUUCUAGUCGCCACCGCCAAGUUUGGUGAGUUUUUGAAUAUGAUAAAGCCCCCAAAAAGGCACACGAAGAGGUGGGAAGAAUCGUAAUAAUAAACAGUACAGAUACAAUAGGCCUUCGCAGCGCUUUGCUGCUCGGGCCUAAUAAACAGC